ACUGGGUUCUCAACUAAUACCAGUUGAUCCAGAUGCUGUGUUCUUCCAUGCUUUUCUAGACCACCAGGGAAGCCAUUCUUCAAGGCAGGCUUACUAGAAUGCUACCACCUGUGCCUUAUAUCUUGGGGUCCUGUAUUCAUCUGAUAUAAGUCUUACAUUCUUACCCCUGAUUUGAUGCUACGUGGAAAAUUUGGUGAAAUGGCAGAGCAAGGAUUUCCUUGGUUUUAAGAGAGUGUGUUGCCUGCGUGGCAUUUUGGAGGUUGUGUGCUGAAACUGAGGUUGUGAAAAAUCGUGCAUGGGUGUGCAUAUGUAUAUAUGUAUGGAAAAAAACCACCUUAUUCUUGCUGACUUCUCUAUCCUUCUGUACACAGGAACACACCCACCAAAAAGUUUGACAAAAACCCGGUAAAGAUAAAGACACUUAAAUCUCUAAAUCUGGAAUUGCUUGAACUGUCAAAGGGCAGUCAAAUUGUGCUUGAAAAUAGCAUCCCUUUACUUUGCAUCCUUGGGUUUUUUAUGUUCUUUCUUUGCGUGUGUAUGCUUGUGUUCUCAUGAUGGAGGUGAAAGCAGUGGUUGCAUUUUGUUUGCUUUUGAAGUCUUAGGACUGCUGAAGAUCAGUUAAGAGCACGAGAGGGAAUCUCACUGCGAAAACAUUCAGUAACAUUAUGCUUUUUUAUUCCAAGUUAUUUGGAAGCUGUUCUAUGUCCAGCGGAUAAUUUUUUCUUGAUGCUCCCAGCUAGAAGAUACUGCUAAAAUAGAGUUGAUAGUCAGCUACUUUGACCUUUUUCUUUCUUUUCUAUUUACUGUGUUCCUUUGCACCUUUGUUGCGAGGGAAAACACCCAAAAUCUGAAGGUUUAGGCGCUUUAGGGCCUACCAGUCUCAGAGUAAUGUGGACAGGUCUUGAUGACUUGGAGAUUUUUUGAUUAGGUAAGAUAACAGGAGUUUUCCUAUUUCUCUGAAAUGGAGGUAUAUAACUUGAAAGAGAUCAUUUACUUUUGAAGGCUUUCUUGUAUGGAACCCCAAUACGGUUCCCACAACAUCAGCAAAGGCCUCAGCUUUCCUUUGGUUUCACUCUUGGAUGGAUUUCACGCUUAUUUUCUGUGUUAGAGCAGAAGUGGUAGUACCAAAUUAUAGAUUGAUCUGUAAAACUUGAUUCAAUUGCAAGGAAAUGCACCCAGGUAUAUAAUAGAAAGGCUUUCUAGCCAUUGUCUGAUUUGCUUUUAUAUCUGAACAUUUCCAACAUGAAUAGAAUUUUGAAUCAAAAGAUAUCAGUUAGAAAUAAUCCUCUUAAUUAACAAUAUAAUGGACAAAUUGCUUAUUUUCUUCUAAUCUUGUAUUUAAAUGUAUUUAAGUGAAUGGAGUUCAUUCUUGCUGUUCAAAAAAAAAAAAGUUGGAGGUUUGAGGACUUCAGGUUGUACUUUUGCUUUGCCUAGGUUUCCUGUUCUGUUGCAUGACACAACGUCUGUUGUGCUGUUGAUAUGUAGCACUUUUCAGUAGGUCUGUUAUUGUGCAAUGCAUUUUUUAUAUUUACAACAAAAACAAUAAAGGUUAUUUUUUGGAAGAAAUUAGUUGUAAUGUCUUUAUUUUUUUUUACCUGAACUCAGCUUGGAAGUGGGGAAAUGGCAAGGAGAAGUCUUCCUGGACCAGGACUAGCACCUUACCAUCCCUUUUGCAACUCUGAAAGGAUUGGAUUUGGGACUCUUGAUUGACUUAAUGCCUGGACAGUGGACUCUGCUGAGCAUUGCUGAGGUUGGACAACACGGUAUUCCCAUGGAACUGAUGUCAGUGUUAGACAUUAAGCUGCUUAAAUCCAUUUAAAAACAAACAAAAAAAGAGAAAUAAUAUUUCACCUUUUCCUUUAAAGACUGUAUUUUGUUUCUUGAUUUUUUGUUUGUUUGUUUGUUUGUUUUCUUCCCCUGGUAGGAUGCUACACAUUACUGCUUCAGUUGAUUGAGAACAGGGAUUUUAUUUUAAAACCAGUGCUGAAGGCUUGAUGCUGGUUAAUGUCCCUCUCGGGACUGGUGACUUUGACCUUAAUAUAGUUUGAGAAAUUCUGAUGAGUCAAGCCUG
rnacentral:lncRNA from 1 species